UUUGAUUGAUGGUGAUGAUGAUCAUAUGCUCGCUGUAGUUUCCAAGUUUUUUCCCUAAGACUUUGACAUAUGUGCCUGGUAAUUAGAGGUCCUUCUAAUGUUGUUAUUUGGUUUCGAAUACCUGUUGUUGCUACUGCGUGGUCUUGAUCGUUUAUUGCUAGAUCUUGGCAUGACCUAGGUGUUGCUGUCACCUAUGUGUGUAUAUAAAUAUUAUACUGGCGAGGUUUAUAUAUUCCUUAUGGUACCUGUGUUCUCUUUUUUUACUUCAUAGAUUUAUCUGGUAUUUCUCUUGAUCUGAAUCUACUCCUAUGUAUGUGUUGUGCAACAGCGAACUGGUUAUUCUUGUGUAGUUGAACAAUUAGUAUCUAGACAUGCAUAUGUGAGAAAUUGGUAUCUAUACAUGCAUCUGGUAACUACAUGAAUGUUUCUUUAUAAAGUGGCGGGCUUCAUGACUAUGUGGGUGCUUAUGUGAGCUAUGCUUUGUAAGAAUAGCAAGCUAGCCUGCAAGCUUUUCUAUGAUUAGAAGUAUCAUCUUGAUGUUAUAAUCACAGGCUUAGAGCUUUACUUUUAUCCAUUCUUGCUUUGAACUAUUUUUUAUUGAUUUGAUUCCCAAUGCUAUGACAUUUCAUUGUACUGAGAUUUGAGGUUUCCUUGUAAUUCAUGCCUAAUUCAUGAUUGUAGGGUUAGCCUUCUUCAACUUUGGUACUAUUCCUAGAGGGAUAUUCGUUUUGAGACCAUAUGUUGGGAAUAUCAAUAUUUCUUGAAUAUGGAAAACAAUAUCACAAACCAAUACCCUUCCUUCCAAGCUAAAUUGCAUUAUUUGCAAGUGCUGCUAUAGGUAGCUGGUGCCUAUAUGCAUGAUAUGCUAGUCCAUUGACAUGCACGUGAUAGACAACAUUGUCCAGCAUAUAACACGUACUAUAUCGAUCCUUUUACUGAAAGAAAAAUAUAUGACUUUGACAUCAGUUGCAUUGCAUGGUACCAUUACGAAUGCAAGGCCAGAUAUUGCAUUAUUGCUGUAGUGAGAUCUUUUCUGCCAGUGUGCUACUACAGCUUUGACUUGUGUGACCCUCCUUCUGCACUCCCCAUCCAUUCGGUGUUUGCACCACCUGCCAAUUUGUCAUGCUAAUUGGUACUUUGUGGGUCCCACGUGGCAAGAGUUGACUGGUGCCCGUAGUAGUAGUUGGGUAAAAAGCUUUUAGUUCUAUUUCUAGACGACGGUUGUGUCAAGCUUCAUGCACUAGCUAAUGCAAUCAAAAGCCUGAACUGUUCGCUUAUACACUUCAACAGGUUGAUGCUUAGAUCUAGCCUUGUCAACAAGGCAGUGUUCCUCUUCUGGGUUCAAUCGCUAGCUGCAACUUUGUUUUCAGAAAUAAGUAGGCCGGUAUUAGUUAUUGUGUAGAUCUGACGCGUGUGAGAAAGAAAGCAAUUUUCUUAGUUAGUUUUCAUGUGUAAAUAUAAUGCUUGUAGAACUAGAAUAAUUGUGUUUAGUAAUUUGAUUUGUUUGUUUGGUAUUUGUGUGCAAAUUAAUUGUGAUUUCUAUUCUGCUGUAAGGUUUAAGCAAUCUGGGUGUCGUUGUUUAAUUCACCAUGUUUAAUAGUUGUGGCACAGCCACAUAAUAUUUGAAUUGGAACCUGCUCUGGUAUUGGACCUAGCUCAAAGGUUUAAGAAUUUCAUUUUGCUGUGUUGCUAAGGAAACAAGGCCGCAAUAAAAGGUGAGACAUAUCGUCUUUUCGAUCCUUAGACCGCACGGAGUUGCAGGACUCUGACCGAGUGUAAAAAAAUACGAUCUUGCACAGCUUUUAGUGUCAUACAAUUGGAACCUGAGAGCUUCUGUUUGUGGAUUCAUGAGGCGUUUAUAUAAUUAUUACAUGAGUACAAUCACCUUUUUAGAUUGGUUUAUUAAGUGACUUUUUUUCUCCAAGGAUGGUAGCAGUUUGACUAUCCAGAUAUGCUAGGAAGUAGCCUCCUAACACUGUACUUUGAGCACAUCGGAUGCUUCAAAACUUCAUUUUAGGAUUUGAAGGUGCUGCGUAAGUUCUCUGUCUAAUGAUCCUCCUGUCAUGGCCUUGUUUUAAUUAAAACAGGGUAUUGGAUUGUGAAAGUACUGAAGAUUGUGAAAGAAGCUGCACAAAUUUAAGUCUGUUCGAAGUAGAUGCUAGUUCAGAAGCACAUAAUUGCUACUCCAUGGCCUAUUUAAAUGGACGGCUGUGAACUUGGAGGAUUGGUUGAGCAUUUCAGUGCAUAAUAGCAAGGGAGUAUACUGGACAACUUGAGUGUGUUGCGUGUGACCUCGUUUGAGCUUUAAUACUAGGAAGGAACUAUGAUUUUUCACUAGAAGGCAUUGAGUUCACAUUUUAAUGCAUAGGUCUCUAUCAUCUUGGUCUCUAAAUUACAAAGAGAUCUGUUUGGUGUUCAUUCUGAAUAAUUGACGAGAUUUUUAAAAUAUUUGUAGAAGUUUGCUCUACUUGUAAGUAGAAUGGACACCAACAACAGUCUAUGAUUGGCAAGUCUCUGGCAGUUGAUGCAUGCUAUCUCGCAGCAGCUGUCCCCCACCGUACCACUCCCUGAAAUGUAUGGAACUCCUACAAGCCUGCAACUUCGACCUCCAUUGCUUCAAAACUAUCAUAGAGCAUGCAAGACGACAUGAUGAAUCUUAUAGAUGUGAGCUAUGAGAUACAAGAAACUCUUUGUAGAAGCUAUAAUAUCCCAGAUGACAUCGAUGAGGAAGACCUUAUGGGAGAGCUUGACGGUUUGGUAGCUAAUAUGGGCUUCAAAUCGAAUCCAGUCCCAUCUUACCUUCGACAAGACAAGGAGCGGUCACGUAGCAGCCCUACACCGGUAGCAGUUUUUGAAGCCUGAGAGCAUAGGAUGUUGCUGUCUGAUUCAUGAAUGUAGGGUGGCCUUCUUCCACAUUGUGGGUUUUUGGCUUCUUUGAUCUGGAGAACGGAAACCAGGAGCUCAAGAGUGACCGACCUUAAGCACCUCCACAACAACACUACAAUCAGAUGGAGGAAGGAAGCCAAGCGGCUCGGGCGGCAUGGUCUUGGUCGUAAUAAAGCAGCAGACGGUACAUGGCUAGGAGCGGCUGGGGGCGUCGUUGAGCGAGGAUAUGACCUGUAGCCUGCAGAGAAGUUGCUUGUGCUGUUUUGACAGGGGAGCCUUUUGUGGAUGUUGACUUUUUUGUUGUAUUGAAGUCGAGAACCUGGAGAUGGUAAGGGGGCAAUGACAACGUGGCCUGGAUGACUAUGGUGUUGCGGCUCAUCUCCAGCCUUUUUGGUUCUGAUGUGACCUGGCCAGUUUCCGGCAGCCGUGGUCGUGGUUCUGCUGCUGAUUUUGUUUAUGUAGAACUGCUUCAGUUCUUAUAACAUGCAGCAGUGGAACUGUAUUGUGCUUUCUGGUCCUAAUCAGGACUUGUAAUAGUUUACUUCAUUCGGGACUUGCAAUUCCUCUGUAAAUGAAUCUGUAAGUAUUAAUGUGUUAUUCUGUAAUGGAGUUAACUUGAAAUGUUUUUUUAUA